CAUUUUAUUUAUACCUAAGCUUGUUUUAAGGUUGCUUAAAGUACACUUCAUAUUAACUAACUCACUUCCCAGAGUUCCAUGCGAGCCGGCAAAUGGCGUGUGUGUUGACAAUCGAAAGUCUAUUCGAAAUUCGAGCUUAUCCACAGUUCCCUGAUAUUACUGAGAUGGCCUAGGCUGUAAAUAGCACAUGCGCGGCGGCGCAGAAGAAGAGACAAGCAAGCUACUGCUCAGCCUUCCCCUAGGAUAUAGUUCUGAAUUUAUACCUAAAAGAAAAAGUUCCAAUAAUUACAAGUUUCAACAUGUAGACGGAAACAGUAUUUAAAAUAAUUUUGUUGGUUUGUAAAAAAAGUGAAAUUUUAGUUUUAAAUAAAAGUACUUUGAAUUUCA